UACGGAGGGGACUAGCGUUGUUCGGAAUUACUGGGCGUAAAGCGCACGUAGGCGGAUUUGUAAGUCAGGGGUGAAAUCCCGGGGCUCAACCCCGGAACUGCCUUUGAUACUGCGAAUCUCGAGUCCGGAAGAGGUGAGUGGAAUUCCUAGUGUAGAGGUGAAAUGCGCAGAUAUCAGGAGGAACACCGAUGGCGAAGGCAGCUCGCUGGGACGGUACUGACGCUGAGGCGCGAAAGCGUGGGGAGCAAACAGG
rnacentral:rRNA from 1 species